GGUCAAGCGAACAAGGGCGCAGGGCGAAUGCCUUGGCACUGGGAGCCGAUGAAAGACGUGAUAAGCUGCGAUAAGCUUCGGGGAGCUGCAAAUAAGCAUUGAUCCGGAGAUUUCUGAAUGAGGAAACUCACCUGGGUUCAUACUCAGGUACAAUACACUGAAAUUUAAAAUAGGUGUAUUGAGGGAACCGCCUGAACUGAAACAUCUAAGUAGGGCGAGGAAGAGACAUCAAACGAGAUUCCGUAAGUAGUGGCGAGCGAACGCGGAAGAGGGCAAACCGAGAGUAGAAAUACUUUCGGGGUACGGACUGCUUUUAAGACUCAAUCUGUUAACCGAACGGCAUGGGAAGGCCGGUCAGAGAGUGUGAGAACCACGUAGGUGAAAACGGAGAGAGCUGCGCAGGAUCCAGAGUACGGCCAGACACGUGAAACCUGGUCGGAAUACGGGGGGACCACCCUCCAACCCUAAAUACUACCCAGUGACCGAUAGCGUAUAGUACUGUGAAGGAAAGGUGAAAAGCACCCCGGGAGGGGAGUGAAAAAGAACCUGAAACCCUGUGCCUACAAGCACCUAGAGCGCGUCAAAGCGUGAUAGGGUACUUUUUGUAGAACGGUCCGGCGAGCGAUUGUAUGCAGCAAGGUUAAGGACUUAAGGUCUGGAGCCGAAGCGAAAGCGAGUUUGAAAAGGGCGUUAAGUUGCAUAUAAUGGGCCCGAAACCGGGUGACCUACCCAUGGUCAGGUUGAAGUGGAAGUAAAAUUCCAUGGAGGACCGAACCGACCUCCGUUGAAAAGGCGGCGGAUGAACUGUGGGUAGCGGAGAAAUUCCAAUCGAACCCGGAGAUAGCUGGUUCUCCCCGAAAUAGUUUUAGGACUAGCCUCAAGUUAGAUACCUGGAGGUAAAGCACUGAAUAGCCUAGCGGCCGAGAGGUUAGCGAAGCUUAUCAAACUCAGAAUGCCAGAGUAUUGAUGCUUGGGAGUCAGACAGUGUCAGAUAAAUGUCAUUGUCAAAAGGGAAACAGCCCAGAUCUACAGCUAAGGUCCCAAAGUCAGGUUAAGUGGAAAACGAUGUGAAGAUACGCAGACAACCAGGAUGUUGGCUCAGAAGCAGCCACUCAUUCAAAGAGUGCGUAAUAGCUCACUGGUCGAGCGUCUUUGCGCGGAGAAUUUAACGGGGCUAAACCUGACACCGAAGCUUAGGCAAUGUAGUAAUACAUUGGGUAGGGGAGCGUUGUAUACGCGGAGAAACAGUAGCGUAAGCGGCUGUGGAGUGUAUAGAAGUGAGAAUGCCGGAAUGAGUAGCGCGAAUGCAGUGAGAAUCUGCAUGGCCGAAAGCCUCAGGUUUCUGGAGGAAGGUUCGUCCGCUCCAGGUUAGUCGGGAGCUAAGGUGAGGCCGGAAGGCGUAGCCGAUGCACAGACGGUAGAGAUUCCGUCACCACCAAAAGAGUUAAGCACAGGGACACAUAUGAAGUCUCAGAGCCGGGUGUUGGUUCCGGUAGAGAUCGAGGGAAAUUAGUACCGAAGUCUGAGAUGGAAGAUGGCGAGAAAAGCUGUGUGUAUUUCUGAGGUGCCCGUACCGCAAACCGACACAGGUAGGUAGGAAGAAGAUUCUAAGGCCAACGGGAGAAGGGUUGUUAAGGAACUCGGCAAAUUGACCCCGUAACUUCGGGAGAAGGGGUGCUCCAGAGAUGGAGCCGCAGAGAAUCGGCCCAAGCAACUGUUUACCAAAAACACAGGUUUGUGCUAAAUCGAAAGAUGACGUAUACGAGCUGACGCCUGCCCGGUGCUGGAAGGUUAAGAGGAGAUGUGCAAGCAUUGAAUCGAAGCCCCAGUGAACGGCGGCCGUAACUAUAACGGUCCUAAGGUAGCGAAAUUCCUUGUCAGGUAAGUUCUGACCCGCAUGAAAGGCGUAAUGAUUUGGGCACUGUCUCAACAGCCCGCCCGGCGAAAUUGUAGUACCGGUGAAGAUGCCGGUUACCCGCGACAAGACGGAAAGACCCCAUGGAGCUUUACUGUAGCCUAAUAUUGGGUUUCGAUGUUGCAUGCACAGGAUAGAUGGGACUCUUGGAAACCAAGGCUUUGGCUUUGGCGGAGAGGCCGUUGGGAUACCAUCCUUGCGAUAUUGGAAUUCUAACCUGCGGCUCUGAAUCGAGUCGGGGGACAUUGUUAGGUGGGCAGUUUGACUGGGGCGGUCGCCUCCUAAAGAGUAACGGAGGCGUUCAAAGGUUCGCUCAGCUUGAACGGAAAUCAAGCAAAAGAGUGCAAACGCAGAAGCGAGCCUAACUGCGAGACUGACGGGUCGAGCAGUAACGAAAGUUGGAGUUAGUGAUCCGGUGGUAUGUGAGUGGAAAUGCCAUCGCUCAACGGAUAAAAGUUACCCUGGGGAUAACAGGCUGAUCUCCCCCAAGAGUCCACAUCGACGGGGAGGUUUGGCACCUCGAUGUCGGCUCAUCGCAUCCUGGGGCUGUAUUCGGUCCCAAGGGUUUGGCUGUUCGCCAAUUAAAGCGGUACGCGAGCUGGGUUCAGAACGUCGUGAGACAGUUCGGUCCCUAUCUGUCGUGGGCGCAGGAUAUUUGAUGGGAGCUGUCCCUAGUACGAGAGGACCGGGACGGACGUACCUCUGGCGCACCAGUUGUUCCGCCAGGAGCAUAGCUGGGCAACUACGUACGGAUCGGAUAAACGCUGAAAGCAUCUAAGCGUGAAGCCGACCCAAAGAUAAGAUAUCCCACUGAUUCAAUCAGGUAAGAUCCCUUGUAGACUACGAGGUUGAUAGGCACGAUGUGUAAGUGGAGUGAUCCAUUCAGCAAGUGUGUACUAAUAGAUCGAGGGCUUGACCAC
rnacentral:rRNA from 1 species